GACGAACGCUGGCGGCGUGCUUAACACAUGCAAGUCGAACGGAAAGGCCCUGCUUUUGUGGGGUGCUCGAGUGGCGAACGGGUGAGUAACACGUGAGUAACCUGCCCUUGACUUUGGGAUAACUUCAGGAAACUGGGGCUAAUACCGGAUAGGAGCUCCUGCUGCAUGGUGGGGGUUGGAAAGUUUCGGCGGUUGGGGAUGGACUCGCGGCUUAUCAGCUUGUUGGUGGGGUAGUGGCUGACCAAGGCUUUGACGGGUAGCCGGCCUGAGAGGGUGACCGGCCACAUUGGGCCUGCGAUACGGCCCAGACUCCUACGGGAGGCAGCAGUGGGGAAUAUUGCACAAUGGGCGGAAGCCUGAUGCAGCAACGCCGCGUGCGUGAUGACGGCCUUCGGGUUGUAAACCGCUUUCGCCUGUGACGAAGCGUGAGUGACGGUAAUGGGUAAAGAAGCACCGGCUAACUACGUG
rnacentral:rRNA from 1 species